GGGCUGCUGCUGAGCUGAAGAUGGAUAACCGUAAGAAACGCCCGGGUGGCGCUGAAACACUGCGACUUAAAAAGCUGAAGUCUCUGGAGGUGGAAGCUGCUAAAUGUUGGACAUUGACAGACCUAUUUGGUGCCGGGGUCACCACCCCAGCAGGUGCUGCUGCGCCGGGAGACGAGCGAGUGGAGGCAGACAUGGUUGAACACUUGACAUGUGAGAGCCUGAGGAGUUGUUCCCCCUCCGUCCAUUUUCAAGGACUUGCUCUCUCUCUGCCUCCACUUCACCACUUUUUGGCUACUGAGACGUCUCUGAUUGGUUGAGUUGACCACCCUAUAUAUGAGAGCCUAAGGAGUUGUUUUCCCUCUGUCCCCUUUUGAGGACCUGCUUUGUCUCCUCCAUCAUUCACUGGGCCACUUUUGGGUUCCUGAGCUUAUUUCAUGUGGUCAUGAAUUUGGUGAGGAGUGGAGCUGGCUGGCUGCGGACGAGGAAGUAGGG